CCAAGUUUUCAAAUUCUAAGUAGCGCAUUUCUCAGUUCCAGGAUUCCUGGAAAACACUAAGAAUAACUGAGAAGAAACCAGGAACCACAAGAGCACAACAAAUAGCAGCUGUAACACAAUUAUAACAACCUACUUGAUUUCAUAACUCCAGGGAGUAUUAGAAAUUUCAACAUACUUUUUGGGCAUAUAUUCAGUUUUCAGGCUGGAGUCAUCAAUAAAUACAUGUUUCCAUACUUUUGUUUUAGAAUUGUCUUUUGCUGAGUAUAUAAUGAUUUUUCGGAUGCUCAGGAUUACAUCUCCCACAAUCAAAACACAGUCCAGGGAUAUAAUAGGAUUUACUACUACCAAGAUUAAUGCUGAAAAUCCAUCAACAAAAAGGCAUAUAUAAUAAAGGAUGGGGGAGACCAGUACACUGAAUUUAGCAGUCUUAAAUAUGAUCAACAACAAAUCUUGCUCAGCUAUGAAAUUCAACCUGCCUUCAAGGAACAAUUUAUUAUAUGCCAAAAGGCUCUGGUUAUGUAACUAGAUCUGCACAGUUUGGGGCUGUGUGGCUUGAUCCAACAAAAUCCAGGUAAAUCCUGACUUCAGUGGGACUACUUCCAAGGGGGCAGCUCUUCACUACCCACUGGAUCGGCAGGUAGGG